rnacentral:rRNA from 1 species
GAUGAACGCUGGCGGAAUGCUUAACACAUGCAAGUCGUGGGCGAGGCUGUGCUUGCUCCGUCUAUCCAAUUCGCGCGGGUGAGGAACGUGAAAGGAACAUGCCCUACAUUCAGGGAUAACAGACGUAAAGGACACAGAAGACAUUGUAAAGUAAGACUUACUAAUGUCCAGCCUGAAAAAAAGGGAUGCUCCAGGAGAGCCUUGUGUCUUGUUAGCUUGUUGGUGGGGUAACGGCCCAACAAGCCGAUGAUAGGUGGCCCGCCUGAGAGGGUGGACGGCCACAAGGGGACUGGGAGACGGCACUUACUACUACGGGAGGCAGCAGUGGGGAAUAUUGGACAAUGGGGGCAACCCUGAUGCAGCAAUUCUGUGUGCAAGAUGAAGGUUUUCGGAUUGUAAAGUGCUUUCAGCAGGGAAGAAAAAAAUGACGGUACCUGCAGAAGAAGCGACGGCUAAAUACGUG